UUGCUCUUCAACGAGGAAUGCCUAGUAAGCGCGUGUCAUCAGCAUGCGUUGAUUACGUCCCUGCCCUUUGUACACACCGCCCGUCGCUACUACCGAUUGAAUGGCUCAGUGAGGCGUUCGGACUGGCUCGAGGAGGUUGGCAACGACCACCUCGAGCCGGAAAGUUCGUCAAACUCGGUCAUUUAGAGGAAGUAAAAGUCGUAACAAGGUUUCCGUAGGUGAACCUGCGGAAGGAUCAUUACACAUAUUACGGAGGGGGUCGGUCCCCAGGGUGUUGCCUCACAGCGCGCCUUGGGCCUUCCCUUUCUGAAUAUUCUACCCAUGUCUUUUGCGUACUCUUCGUUUCCUCGGUGGGCUUGCCUGCCGAUAGGACACUAUAAAACCUUUUGUAAUUGCAGUCAGCGUCAGAAAAACUUUUAAUAGUUACAACUUUCAACAACGGAUCUCUUGGUUCUGGCAUCGAUGAAGAACGCAGCGAAAUGCGAUAAGUAGUGUGAAUUGCAGAAUUCAGUGAAUCAUCGAAUCUUUGAACGCACAUUGCGCCCCUUGGUAUUCCAUGGGGCAUGCCUGUUCGAGCGUCAUUUGUACCCUCAAGCUCUGCUUGGUGUUGGGCGUCUUUGUCUCACGUUGCGUGUAGACUCGCCUUAAAGCAAUUGGCAGCCGGCACAUUGGCCUUGGAGCGCAGCACAUUUUGCGCACCUAGUCAGUAGUUGUUGGCGUCCAUUAAGCCUAUACAUUUGCUCUUGACCUCGGAUCAGGUAGGGAUACCCGCUGAACUUAAGCAUAUCAAUAAGCGGAGGA
rnacentral:rRNA from 1 species